rnacentral:rRNA from 1 species
ACCAGAGCUAGCCCAAACAACAAACAACCCAACUACCAAACUAUAAUUAAACAAAACAUUUAGUCACGCACUAAAGUAUAGGAGAUAGAAAUUUUUCAACUGGAGCUAUAGAGAUAGUACCGCAAGGGAAAGAUGAAAGAAGAUUUAAAGUAAAAAACAGCAAAGAUUAUCCCUUUUACCUUUUGCAUAAUGAGUUAGCUAGAACAACUUAACAAAGAGAACUUAAGCUAAGCCUCCCGAAACCAGACGAGCUACCUACGAACAAUCCUCGGGAUGAACUCAUCUAUGUUGCAAAAUAGUGAGAAGAUAUAUAGAGGUGAAAAACCUAACGAGCCUGGUGAUAGCUGGUUACCCAGAAUAGAAUAUCAGUUCAACUUUAAACUUUACGUAAAAAACCUAAAAAUUGUACUGUAAGUUUAAAAUAUAGUCUAAAAAGGUACAGCUUUUCAGAAAAAGGAUACAACCCUAUUUAGAGAGUAAACAUAACCAUAAACCAUAGUAGGCCUAAAAGCAGCCACCAAUUAAGAAAGCGUUAAAGCUCAACAACCAAAAAACCAUAAUACCAAAAACCUCCGGACAACUCCUAAUAUAAUACUGGGCUAAUCUAUUAAAGCCAUAGAAGAAAUAAUGCUAACAGGAGUAACAAGAAUACUUUCUCCUUGCAUAAGCUUAUAACCGAACAGAUAACCACUGAGAGUUAACAAAAUAAAAAGUAUCUAACCAAUAAACAACCUAUUAAUUCAACUGUUAAACCAACACAGGCAUGCAAUUAAGGAAAGAUUAAAAGAAGAAAAAGGAACUCGGCAAACACAAACCCUGCCUGUUUACCAAAAACAUCACCUCCAGCAUUUCCAGUAUUGGAGGCACUGCUGCCCAGUGACAUUCAUUAAACGGCCACGGGAUCCUGACCCUGCAAAGGAGAGCAUAAUCAUUUGUUCUCUAAAUCAGGACUUGUAUGAUUGGCCACAGGAGGGGUUAACUGUCUCUUACUUCCAAUCAGUGAAAUUGACCUUCCUGUGAAGAGGCGGGAAUAACACAAUAAGACGAGAAGACCCUAUGGAGCUUGAAUUAACUAGCCCAACAGAACCUACUCAAGUCAACCGAAACGGAAUAAAAUAACUCUGCAUAUGGGUUCGCAGUUUAGGUUGGGGUGACCUCAGAGAACAAAAUAAACUCCAAGUGAUAUAAACCUAGACUCGCCAGUCAAAAUAUUAUUUGUUGAUCCAAAAAACUUUUGAUCAAUGGAACAAGUUACCCUGGGGACAACAGCACAAUCCUAUUUGAGAGUUCAUAUCGACAACAGGGUUUACGACCUCGAUAUUGGAUCAGGACAUCCUAAUGCUGCAGCAGAUAUUAAGGGUUCGUUUAUUCAACAGUUAAAGUCCUAUGGGAUCUGAGUUCAGACUGGAGUCAUCCAGGUCAGUUUCUAUCUAUUAAAUAAUUUCUCCCAGUUCGAAAGGACAAAAGAAAUAAGGCCUACUUAAACAUAAGCGCCUUAAGACCUAUAAAUGAUAUAAUCUUAAUUUAGCCAGUCUAACUACAUCAUUAAGCCCAAGAACAGGGCUC